rnacentral:rRNA from 1 species
GACGAACGCUGGCGGCGUGCCUAACACAUGCAAGUCGAACGGGGGGAACAUGAAGUAUUUCGGUACGGAAUGCGCCCCUAGUGGCGAACGGGUGAGUAACACGUGGGCAACCUGCCCCAGACUGGGGGAUAACAUUGUGAAAACAGUGCUAAUACCGCAUGACAGGGUUCCGGGCAUCCGGGACCCUUGAAAGGAGAAAAUCCGGUCAGGGAUGGGCCCGCGUCCAAUUAGCUAGUUGGCGGGGUAACGGCCCACCAAGGCGACGAUUGGUAGCCGAACUGAGAGGUUGAUCGGCCACAUUGGGACUGAGACACGGCCCAGACUCCUACGGGAGGCAGCAGUGGGGAAUAUUGGGCAAUGGGCGAAAGCCUGACCCAGCGACGCCGCGUGAAGGAUGAAGGUCUUCGGAUUGGUAAACUUCUUUGAUCAGGGAAGAAAGAAAUGACGGUACCUGAAAAACAGCCACGGCUAACUACGUGCCAGCAGCCCGCGGUAAUAGUCACGUCG